rnacentral:rRNA from 1 species
AAUGGUUUUUUGUUUAAAUGUUUUUUCGCCUAAGGAUGAGUCUGCGGCCGAUUAGGUAGUUGGUUAGGUAAUGGCUUACCAAGCCGUUGAUCGGUACGGGUUGUGAGAGCAAGAGCCCGGAGAUGGAACCUGAGACAAGGUUCCAGGCCCUACGGGGUGCAGCAGGCGCGAAACCUCCGCAAUGUGAGAAAUCGCGACGGGGGGAUCCCAAGUGCCAUUCUUAACGGGAUGGCUUUUCAUUAGUGUAAAGAGCUUUUGGAAUAAGAGCUGGGCAAGACCGGUGCCAGCCGCCGCGGUAACACCGGCAGCUCUAGUGGUAACAAUUUUUAUUGGGCCUAAAGCGUCCGUAGCCGGUUUAAUAAGUCUCUGGUGAAAUCCUGUAGCUUAACUGUGGGAAUUGCUGGAGAUACUAUUAGACUUGAGACCGGGAGAGGUUAGAGGUACUCCCAGGGUAGAGGUGAAAUUCUGUAAUCCUGGGAGGACCGCCUGUUGCGAAGGCGUCUAACUGGAACGGUUCUGACGGUGAGGGACGAAAGUUAGGGGCGCGAACCGGAUUAGAUACCCGGGUAGUCCUAACUGUAAACGAUGCGGACUUGGUGUUGGGGUGGCUUUGAGCUGCUCCAGUGCCGAAGGGAAGCUGUUAAGUCCGCCGCCUGGGAAGUACGGUCGCAAGACUGAAACUUAA